UUAGUAUUGUUCUGAUGAAGCCCGUUGCCAUAUCAUGAACUGUUGAGGCAGGCCCUGGCCAACAACAAUCAAGGAAUAAAACCCUACAAAUAGCUUUUUGAUACAGAAGGCAACUGUGGUGUAAGGAACAUUGAUGCUGACACUUUGUAAAGAUAUUUAUUUUGAAGAAUGAUAUCACCUAACAGGCAGUCACCUCAUAUAGAAGCCAGAAGAAUACCAUUGGAGAAUAUCAUCCAGACACCUGUGUGAGGAGAAGAACUCUGACAGCAUAUUUGGCGUGAAUCUUUCUUGGGAACAUUGGCCAAGAGCUGAUUAAAGAUUUUUUUCAAAACAAACUCUUGCAAUGCAUAUGUUCUCUAUUUGGCAGGAAACCACUUCAAGUAUAUUUUCUCCUAAGUGUCAAAGGGGUAAUAGAAUUCUGUGAAAUUAUAUGUUGCUCUAUUCGUGCCCAACUCUAGCCUUGAUUUACAGAAAGGCUUUUCUCUAGAAAGAAAACAACC